CCGGCAGCUUGGAGGUGGCCCGUGCUGUCAUUUGUCAUUUCUUUAACUGCUCCCUUGCAGAUAUGCAACAGGUGCUAACGAAAUGAUUGAUCCCACGGACGCCGUCCGGUCACGCUCGUCGCUUCCCUCAGGCCUCAGGCUGGCCAAUCGUCCUCCCAGUAAAACCAGCAGGAGCAUGUUGGAUCAAAGAGCUUCUCGGCUCUUAGAUGUGACAAGAAACAUCACGUUUUGUAGAAAAAUCGACUUAUUAUUUGACACUUGAUUGUUGGGCGUUGGGGUCUCAAUGGGGGUUUGAUUUAAGACCAAAACGAGCGGAAAAAGUCUUUCACCAGCAGAUGUGAAAAGAACCAAAGAUCCAUCUGCGGCACCAUCUUCUAAUGUCUCCAACAAGUCCAACGACUGGAAGGUCUUUGGCGCUAAACCUGCCCUCCGCUAUCCAGAUGUGGCCCAACUUCAGUUUCCAUCAGUGCACACAACUCACAAUGAAAUGACAAAGAGCUGGUGGUAAAUCUGCAACAUGUUGCACCUCUGUAAUGGGUGAUGUUUGUUUUUU
ensembl:lncRNA